rnacentral:rRNA from 1 species
GAUUAGAUACCCUGUUAUUUAAAGAUGUAAAUUUAUUACCUGCCAGGGAACUACGGACACAUGUCUAAAACCCAAAGGACUUGGCGGUGCUAUAAUCCAAGUAGGGGAACCUGUCCCUUAAUUCGAUGACCCACGAAAAUCUUACUUAUCCUAGCAGCAUCAGUUUGUAUACCGUCGUCUAGCCGGCCUUGUCAAGAGAGUAAAAGUUGGCAAAAAAGGUUAACCCUAAUAAGACAGAUAAAGGUGCAGCCAAUGGGUAAAGGGAAGGAUGUGUUACAAUUAAUAAUUUGAUAGUGGAAUUUAAAUGAAAUUUUUAAAGGAAAGAGGACUUAGGAGUAAUUUCUGUAAAAAUAGCAGGGAUGAAUUUUUUGGCUCUAUAGUGUGUACAAAUCGCCCGUCACUCUC